ACAGAGCCUACAAGAAUAUACACUUCACUGGACAGGGAUUUUAAAUUAUUGUGUUUGCUGCUAUAUCCUGAAUGCCCAGAACAGGGCCUGGUAUAUAGUUAGUGCUCAAUAAACAUUUGCUAAAUGAAUCUAAAUCUGCUGAGAAUAACUCAGCAGAGGAACAAUUAUUAGACCCUAUGAAACAAGUCAUAGUUGAGAGAAUUUAUAUAUGAACGUUUUGAAAUACAGGAUAACAUAAAGACAAAGCUAUUGCUUGGAGAAGUCAUUUAACAAAUAUUUAUGUGACAGGCACCAUGUGAAGUGCUGAGGAUACAACAGUGAUCAAAAUAUACAUGAUCCCUGCCUUUAAGGAAUUUAGAGUCUUGCAUGAGUGAUACAAGAAAAAUUCCUGUGCUAGUCUACUUUAUCCCAUAUAGGAAUUGCAAGUCUGUAUGACAAAACCUUACACACUCACUCACUCAAAAUUUGGUAUUUAAAGAGUGUGAAGGUAAAUGAAUAACUGCUCACUACUCAAAAAAAGGUUAAAGUUUGUAGUUCAUAAUAAAAGAAAACUCACUUACUAAUGAAUAUAUAGCAUGGCUGAAUUCAAAAAUACUUAUUAAGGAACCUAUUUGUGACCAUUUCUGUGGGGGAUAUAUAAGGAGUAUGUGAAACAGAUAUAAAAUACAUAAGCACUAUCUUUAAAGAGCUUACAUGUCCACAUUAAACACUUAGGUAAUAUUGAAAUAUCAGGUAAAUAUACAUAUACUUUUAACCUAAUUUUACCUAAUUACCUACACUUUUAAAAUUAUAUAAAGGGCUGGGUGUUGUGGCUCAUGCCUGUAAUCCCAGCACUUUGGGAAGCUGAAGUGAGUGGAUUGCUUGAGCCCUGGAGUUUGUGACCAGCCGGAACAACAUGGCAAAACCCCAUCUCUACUAAGAAAAUACAAAAAUUAGCCAGGCGUGGUGGCACAUGCCUGUAGCCCCAGCUACUCAGGAGGAUAAGGUGGGAAGAUCGCUUGAACCCAGGAGAUGGAGGUUGCAGUGAGCCAAGAUCGUGCCAUUGCGCUCCAGCCUGGGCAACAGAACAAGACUCUGUCUCAAAAAAAUAUAUGAAAUUAUAUAAAAAUAUUUAAUUAUCCAAAUAUGUUUGCCUACUUUAAUAUAAAUAUAUGAAACAUAUACUUAUGUUAUAUGGAAAUAUAUUUAAUAUAUAUUAAAUAUAUAUUUAAUAUGGUAAGAGGUAUUUAAUAAAUAUAUUUAAGGUAAAUUAGGUAAACACACAUACAUGUAAUAUGUGCUAAAACCAUUAUGUUACUAAGUGCUUUAGGAGUUUAAAGGACAGAAGAGAUUAAUGUGAUACAGGCUAUAAGGAUCAGAGAAAGGUUCUUUAAAGAGACAGUUCUUAUGGAGGUCUUACAUACAGAACAGGUCCAGCAUAAGGCAGUAUUCUGUUCUAAGGACCACUAAGGAUAGUAAAGAAGCUGGUGUGGCUACAGAAGAAUGUUUGUGAACUAGAGAAUGACAGACAUUUGCAUCUUCCUUAUUUUCCAUAUGUAGAGCACAACGCCUUACAAAUAACAAGCUCUCAAUAACAAUGGCUGACUGACGGAAAAAUAAGUCAGACUGGAUCUUAUCUUGUAGUCCCAGAUUUAAAAGUUUUUCAGAGAGGAAUGCUUUGAUGAAAAUGGCAUUUUAUAAAGAUUGAUCUGGCAGCAGUAAAGUCUCCCAAAGAGGCUACUCAAAAAACCACUGCAAUACAUUGUUGAGUUUUCUCUCAUUCAUUUCCCUUAAUUUAUACAAGUUAUAUAAUUUAAUUAAUUUUGUGAAUAUCUUAGAAAUAAUCAUUGCUUCUAAUAUGGAUGAGUCCUUUACACUGUUCCAACUCAACAAAAACUAAUCAUGCUAGGAAAAAAAAUAUAUUGGAAGCAUUGUAAUGUAAUGUACUUCUGGGAGAUAAAUUCUUAACAGUUCUAGGUAGAAUCUAAUAGCAUAAAAGGCACUGCAAAAUAAGCUAUCCUUGUCUAUGGAAUGAGAACCAUUUCUUCAUAAGACUCAUUGCUUUUAGAUACCUGAGAGUGCUUCUCCUCGUUGUAACACUUCUUCGAUAUUGGCCACCAUGAUCCUCUGCACAUCUUGCAAUUCAGUGUUGAUGGAGCCUAGGUUUCUUCGAGCACAACUGUCAAUGUAGAGCUUCUUGGUUUUCUGAAUGAAAGUAUCUAGAAUGAUGAAGAAAACUGACCAUUUCUUUCAUGGCCAUCAAAGUACUGAGGUAGGAAAUUAAAAGUUCUGAGUUGGCCAGGCACGGUGGCUCACACCUGUAAUCCCAGCACUUUGGGAGGCCAAGGCAGGUGAAUCAUGAGGUCAGGAAAUCGAGACCAUCCUGGCUAACACAGUGAAACCCCGUCUCUACUAAAAAUAUAAAAAGUUAGCCAGGCGUGGCGGCACACGCCUAUAAUCCCAGCUACUCAGGAGGCUGAGCCAGGAGAAUCACUUGAACUUGGGAGGCAGAGGUUGCACUGAGCUGAGAUCACACCACCACACUUUAGCCUGGGUGACAGAGCAAGACUCUGUCUCAAAAACAAAAACAAAAAAACCAAAACAGUUCUGUCUUUAUUCCUGGAUUUGCCACUGUCCAUGGUUAACCAAACUCUUGGUUGAAUAUCAAAAUCUAGGCUUUGAUUAUUUCAUUUGUAAGAUGUAAAGGUAUAAUUAGACGACCAUUCAGGAGAAAUGUCCUUUGAAUACCUUUAAAUUAGAAGUAUUUGCUAUCUAAGGCUGCUAUCAG
rnacentral:lncRNA from 10 species